UACAAGCAUAGUAAAACUACCAGCACAUGGUGUUCUAAAGAACUUUGAAACAAUCCCUUUUUGUACACUUCAAAAACCUGUUGCGAUGCAGUUAUGCCUUAGGCCAGGGCCGUAUCAAUGAUACGGGGCCUCCAGACUACAGUGGCCCCUUACGUUUGAAAACAAAAAUUAGUAAAACAUAGGUAAUCCACAAUCUCUUUUUAACCCUGGUUAAGCGUGCGCCUAAAAGUUGGUAUGUUUGCUGCCGCGUCGCUUUCUGACACCAACCGGAUGCCGCCACCAAGAGUGUGGCAUCGCCUCGACCGACUUCAUUACAGCCGAGGCAGAGCCGGGCCCGAGGGAGACUCGGCUUACCGUACAGUUCUUGCAAGACGCCCGGAAUAUCGGCGGUGGCUUCAACCAUUUAAUCAUAGAAAUUACGCGGGCGGAAUAUUCAAUCGCAACAGUGUUGGUAGAAGAGCGUACAGUUACAACACCAGGCGCCGUGUAGACGCAAAUGAUCGACUCCGACAUUAUCAAGCAAACAGGCAACGCCAGGUAUUAAGUCAACGUCGCAGUAAGCGUCGGGUUAGACAACCUUACACGCUACCUUCUACCAUUAUGCGGGAUCUGUGAUUAUGACAAAUAUAAGCUUUGAUAAUUUAUUGAAAAAAUUAUUGCAAAUUGUCAUCCCACAAAAAUAAAUACCUACCUCAUCAAAUUAAAGAAAUUUUAUUACUAAUUCUAUUUGUCCAGCACUUAAAAAAAUAUUUCGUGAACAGGUAAGUAAAAUAAAAAAAAAACCUUUAUUUACCCAAAACAGGCGCCAUUCUCCCUCAG